UGGGAAUUCUUUUUGUUCAUUGCCAUUGGUUGGUAGUUGGGUUAGGAUUUGUUUAAAUUAUCAAAAUCCCUAAAUUCACUCACCAACUACACUGUUCAGUUUUUUCCCUACUCCCCUAUUCACGUUUCCCCUCUCACAUUUCUUCUUUUCCCUCUUCUUUCUUUUCUUUUCUUUUUCUUGAAUUUCCAUCUCAUAUUUCUUCUUGAUUUGCUUCUUACCUUGCUGCCAUUAAGGUUGUUAUGUGACUAUCUUUUUUAUUCUUCGUUUGUGAUAGUAAAUCCGAGUAAAGUGAUCUCGUGGUUUUUUAUUCGGCGAAGGGCGUGAGAAUCGAAAUUCUCCAGCGGAGUAAUUGCUAAUUUUGACUCUAUUUUCUUAUAAGAUUCGUGAGUUCCCGGUUGUGUGGUUAAUCAAAAUUGUCAUCAGCUCAACUUCAUAUUUAUGAAUGGCAUACCACCACUUACCGAUGUGAUUGGAUGGAUGGACUCAUGAAGUCCUAAUUAAUGUGAUUGGUUGGCCGGAGAUAAUGUGUAGCGGAUGGGGGUGAACCUUAGAAUUAAGAUUUGGCGGCGAUUCCGGAGCUCGGUUCAGACAUUUUGUUUUUAAGUAUGUUUGGAUUUAAUUUUAGACUUUACGGACAUUUUGAUUUGUUUAGGGACUUUAAUUUGUGUUUGAAAUUUAUCUUGCAAACGCACUACUUAUAACUGACAUUUUUAA